CAGUCAUACCUGCACAUCCACACUCAUCUCAACCCAACCAAGAGAACUCUUGCGAGGAUGAUGUGACCAUUGCUGAUGGUGUUAAAGUAAACAAAGUCAAGCUUUUGAGAUGCAGUCAUCAACAUCCCACUAAACUGGUCUGUGAUCUUCUUGGAGUUGUCUUCACACGUGAAGAGUUGUCAACACACUCCCUAACAGGACAAAAAGGAAGCGCAACAGAGGCUGUGAAGCCAUCUCUGGAUAGAAAGCUUGUUAAUGGCAUUUUUGAUUACACUUUAAAAAAAUUCCCCACUGCCAGUGUUAAGGAGCUGAGAGGGGCAGCUCGAAACAAACUGAACAAUGAAAGCAAGCUGUUCAAGAGAGGGUCUUACCAGACACUUUAUGGAGAAUAAAGGAUGCAUGGAUGUGUUUUCGUUUUCU